ensembl:lncRNA
CAGGGACCUGCAACAACAGACCCUGGCCCUCAGCCUCUGGCCUCUCAGCUGUGCAGCUACUUGGAUCUACACUACAGAGGCACAGGGGGCCAUAAAAGCGAUUGUCCUGAGCUGCAGAAAUGAACAACAGAAAGAGGGCCUCUCUCAGGCUCCCUGAUGAAAACUGAAGCCCACUGAAAAAGUGAAGAGAAUCUGUGCAAUAACGGCACACCAGACUACUGUGCUUGCUCAAAAACUGGUUGCAAACUCAAAUGCUAUAUGGAACUAAGUGCAGCAGGCGGAAUGUGAGACAGAGUUGCAAUCAGAGGUGGCACAGAACAUUGGAAGAGAGGCCUCUGUUUGAUCUGUUCUGACCACUAUCAAAAGAGAUUGCACUGCACCCUAUCAGAAGAGCCAGGGAAUGGAAGAAAGUAGUUGGAUGUGUAGAAGGGAUGCUACCAGGCAUUGCAGGGGGAAGACUCAUCGCAAGGCUGGAAAGAGGAAACAAAAGAAAGAAGAAAACACAGUGAUCACUACUCUAUUCUGGGCAUUUUGCUCACACAACACAGAUGCCCCCCAAUAAUUCUGCAAAACAAUGGUAUGAGGGGAGCCACUUCCUCCAUCAGACAUUCCCACCAUGAUAAGCUGCCUUGCCACAGGCCCAAAAGCAAUGAGGCCAACCAACUAUAGUCUGAAACAUUUAAAACUGAUGAGCCAGAAUAAACUUUCUUCUCUUUAA